rnacentral:rRNA from 1 species
UAUGUGAUCGUCUCUCGCAUAUCAAUAAGCGGAGGAAAAGAAACUAACAAGGAUUCCCCUAGUAACGGCGAGUGAAGCGGGAAGAGCUCAAAUUUGAAAUCUUAAAGGGUUUCCCUUUACGAAUUGUAGUUUAAAGAAGUGUUUUCUGUUGAGGUUUUGGUAAAAGUUCUUUGGAAUAGGACAUCAUAGAGGGUGAGAAUCCCGUAUUUGACCUUUACUUUCAACUUUGUGAUACACUUUCAAAGAGUCGGAUUGUUUGGGAAUGCAGUCCAAAAUGGGUGGUAAAUUUCAUCUAAAGCUAAAUAUUGGCGAGAGACCGAUAGCGAACAAGUACCGUGGGGGAAAGAUGAAAAGAACUUUGAAAAGAGAGUUAAACAGUGCGUGAAAUUGUCAAAAGGGAAGCGUUUGACACCAGUGUUGUUUUUCUGAAAAUCAAUUAAAGAACUGUUUAUGCUAAGUUGUUUAGACUUUAUCAGCUAUCUGUUUAGUUUUGAGCUUUUCUUUAAUGCACUUUUCAGUUAACAAGUCAACAUCAAUUUCUUUUGCUGUAAAAAAGCUUGAGGAAGGUGGCUUGAGAUUCGUCUUAAGUGUUUAUAGCCUCUUGCCUAUGCAGUCGGAGAGAUUGAGGUCUGCAGCGUAGAUCCUUCGGGGCUAAAUGCAUUUGUGCUAAGUUAUAGCAUUUUAUAGACAACUUGUUGACUAUGAUUUGUCUUGUAGCUUACUCGCUUAUGUUAUUUUACCUACGCUUAGGAUGUUGAUAUCGCGCUCUCACUG